UAGGCAUGCUAGUUGCACGAGUUCAGACUCGUAGCAUAUAGCUCAGUAACACGUGGCCAAACUACCCUACAGACCGCGAUAACCUCGGGAAACUGAGGCCAAUAGCGGAUAUAACUCUCAGACUGGAGUGUCGAGAGUUAGAAACGUUCCGGCGCUGUAGGAUGUGGCUGCGGCCGAUUAGGUAGAUGGUGGGGUAACGGCCCACCAUGCCGAUAAUCGGUACAGGUUGUGAGAGCAAGAGCCUGGAGACGGUAUCUGAGACAAGAUACCGGGCCCUACGGGGCGCAGCAGGCGCGAAACCUUUACACUGCACGACAGUGCGAUAGGGGGACUCCGAGUGUGAGGGCAUAUAGCCCUCGCUUUUCUGAACCGUAAGGUGGUUCAGGAACAAGGACUGGGCAAGACCGGUGCCAGCCGCCGCGGUAAUACCGGCAGUCCAAGUGAUGGCCGAUAUUAUUGGGCCUAAAGCGUCCGUAGCUUGCUGUGUAAGUCCAUUGGGAAAUCGACCAGCUCAACUGGUCGGCGUCCGGUGGAAACUACACAGCUUGGGGCCGAGAGACUCAACGGGUACGUCCGGGGUAGGAGUGAAAUCCUGUAAUCCUGGACGGACCACCAAUGGGGAAACCACGUUGAGAGACCGGACCCGACAGUGAGGGACGAAAGCCAGGGUCUCGAACCGGAUUAGAUACCCGGGUAGUCCUGGCUGUAAACAAUGCUCGCUAGGUAUGUCACGCGCCAU
rnacentral:rRNA from 1 species